rnacentral:rRNA from 1 species
GACGAACGCUGGCGGCGUGCUUAACACAUGCAAGUCGAACGGUAAGGCCCUUCGGGGUACACGAGUGGCGAACGGGUGAGUAACACGUGGGUGAUCUGCCCUGCACUUCGGGAUAAGCCUGGGAAACUGGGUCUAAUACCGGAUAGGACUCCUGGCUUCAUGGUUGGGGGUGGAAAGCUUUUGCGGUGUGGGAUGGGCCCGCGGCCUAUCAGCUUGUUGGUGGGGUAAUGGCCUACCAAGGCGACGACGGGUAGCCGGCCUGAGAGGGUGACCGGUCACACUGGGACUGAGACACGGCCCAGACUCCUACGGGAGGCAGCAGUGGGGAAUAUUGGGCAAUGGAGGAAACUCUGACCCAGCGACGCCGCGUGCGGGAUGAAGGCCUUCGGGCUGUAAACCGCUUUCAGCAGGGAAGAAGCGAAAGUGACGGUACCUGCAGAAGAAGCACCGGCUAACUAUGUGCCAGCCGCCGCGGUAA